CGAGAGGCAGAACUAAUGCUGUGCAACGGCCAGCCGACAGGCCAAAAAAAUGCGCGGACCCUAUCGUCGACGUCCCUACUACGGCAGCACCGACGGCACGCAACGGCUAGUCGAUCGGCUAAAAAACAUGCGGAUUCCUACUGCCGACGUCACCCGACGUGUCAGUGUUAAUGGGCGAUUUUUAGCCGGUCGGCUAGGCGUUGCCUAGCAUUGGCCGGCACCAAUGCUCGGGUUUUUGUGGCCGCUCGGCCGGCCGCUACCCACCAUCAAGCACAAGCGGCCUUUUCCUCUGGCGCGCUGGUCACGCGCUGAUCCAAACACGACGCUGCGAGUGUCGAUUUUUUUUUGGCAAAAGGAAAGGGCGGAAAGGUGUUUGCGCAAAAUUGCGCUCGAAGCCGAGGCAUGGAUUCGCGCAUGGGUUCGCGACUGCGAGGACCGACGCGAGCAGCGCGAGAGUAAAAAAAUGCAGCACGCCAAUUGCAGCACCAGGCAAUCGAUCCAAGACGCAACCCCAGCGGAAGCAAAGGGAAAAAAAAAGAAAACAAACAAACAGGACGAGGCGUGUUUGCGCGAGCAGCGAUUUUUCGUUUUUUUUAUAUACUCUUUUUUCGGGUCGGCGCACACGCGCGCCCCGACAAUCUAUCGGUGGGCUUUUCUCUUUCUUCUCGCGGAAAGGGCGCGCCAACCGCGCAGCGCCUGGAGCGCCGUCGUCGCGCGCCCGGCCACGACCGCUGCGUUGAAAUCGUCUCUGUCGACGUGCGCGCUCCAUCGGGCGUCGACGCGCGCACACAGCCGCACAAAGGCCGUCGCGUCGAGCGUGCCCUUCAUGUGGUUACACCGUGGGCAGCACGGCGUGAUGUUGUGGCGCGUGUAUCCGCGCGCGUUGUCGAUGCGGUCUAAACCGAGCGGACGGCCGGGCUCGGCCUCGCGCCGACAGUAGGCGCAGGCCGUCGCCGUCGUGAGGGCGUCAAAGCGCGUCCGGUUCACGGCAAAGCAUAGACCAAGGCGACGCGCCCUGUGGCGGUACUUGGCGUAGCAUGCGCCGCGCCGCGUGUCUUCGUCGUC
rnacentral:lncRNA from 1 species